AUGUAUUCUUGAAUUUCUAUAAGAGUUUUUCUCUACAUAUUAAAUUGGCAAUUAUGCUAGAAUGCCGUUACAAACUGCUACCUUUCUAAAUUUGAGCCCAAAAUAUUUGAUUGGUUGAAAUGUUAUAGAGAGUGACUGUUAUUAAUGGUUUAAGUGAAAUUCAUAUUAAUGAUUUCAGUGAUAUGUUGAGUACAUGAUAUUGCUGCUUUCGAAUGUUUAAAGAGAUUUAGAAAUAAUUUAAGUAUGCAAGUGGACUCAUCCGGUUCGCCGGUGAGGUAUAAGUGGACCUAUCUGGGACGCCGGUAGAGAUUAAGUGGACUCAUCUGGUACGCCGGUGAGGUAUAAGUGGACCUACAGGGAUUAAGUGGACCUAUCUGGGACGCCGAUAGGGAUUAAGUGGACCCAUCAGGACGCUGAUGGGGUAUAUAGGUGACCUACUUGGGACUCCAGUAGGGUAUUUUUUGAAAUCCUUUGAAUUAUGCACUGCCGUUAAAAGUGUUAUAAGCAUUUCAAUUACUUGGAUUAUAUAUAAUUAUGCAUUUAUUGAAAGUGAAACUGUUGAUGCAUUUCUGUUAAUAGAUCUCAUUUUGGAAAAUAUUGAUAUCUUUCAAUGAUGAUUAUUUUUAGAAUUAUGAUGAUCACUUACUGAGUAGCCAAACUCAUCAAACUAUGAUAAACAUUUUUCAGGAUAACUGCGGUUUCAUUUGAGUGCUCGUCAGGAUCAACUUUGGGAAGAUAUUGAAGUUGUGUUUAAACUUUCUUUUGUUACUUUUUAAAAAUUCGUCAUUGUAAAUUUGUCCUAAAAAGAGAUGUAUAUAUAUGUUUUGACUGCCACAUCUCAGGAAUAUCAGUAUUGUAAAUUCUUGGGGUGUGACAUAGGACCUAAUCAAUUGGAUGUUAAGAAUAUUUAGCCGAUCGGCUCAAGCAAAAUUCUCUACAUUAUUAGUUCUUUUCGGGAAAUAAAUUAAUACAAUACCUAUUUGCAAAAUAACAGAGGUACCUUUACUAUCUUUUUCCUUUCUAUCUUCUUCGCUCCCCAUAUUAAAGGAAAAUAUCAAGCUUGUGGGACUCCAACUAGACAUCAAGUUCAAACUUAAAACCUAGACCCCACAUGUUAAGCAGAGGCAUUCCACCAUUAAGGAACUUGCCCUAGAAAUCCAAUGAGGCACAGUGUUCAAGUUAGG
rnacentral:lncRNA from 1 species